AUCUCUAUCUGGAGAUCACUCUUCUUGUAGCCCUUCUGCGAGCCCAGGACACAGAAAGAUGAAAAACAGGCUCUCUCCCACGCUAAGUGUUUUAAGCUAAGGUGACGAGCCCAGUGAACAAUUAAGCCCUUCAUUCUCUGAGCUGGAACAGGAAGGCUAGGCAGAUAACACCCUGCCAGCUACUUGCUGUGACCUUUUCCAUCCUCGUCUGACUCACACAUCCUGGAUCAUCUCGACACUGCUCCUGAAAGUGCAGAUAUUCUUGCAUGCUAUCUGCAGAGUGCUUUGUGUCUGCCAGACUGAGUGCUUCUUAAUUCCUGUGGUGUGGGGAGAUCAACGUGCUCUAUAAAUGUGCUGCUGCGCAUCACUUGUAGCUGAUGGAAUAUAUGAGGAAUUUGUGGUCCAUUUGCUGUGAGGAUAGAUGGCUCACAGGGAGCACGUGACACGAAAUCCACAAUCCCCAAGGGUUGGGGAAAUGUGGAUUUAGACUCUGAAGGUUGAGUUUAUGUUUGGUAAGUAAAACCCUCAUAUUAGAGUGGCUUUAUCUGCUAUAACAGAAUAGCUGAAGAAGGGAAUGGAAAACAAAAAUGAACAUUGAUUGGCUACUUGCUUGCUAAAGAUUGUAUCUCUUCUUUUCGGUCCAUGAACUAAUUCUUCAUCCACAUCUGGCUGGCUGGGGAUGAGCAGUGUCAAGCUCUGCGUUGCCAUGUCAAGUGUGAGCAGGCAGUGCAUGGUAAACAGGCACAGUUGUGUCAGUGUGGUGGUGCACAGCUUCCUGCUGCUGAGGAGGGAAUGUGUAGUGCUCCCUUGAAUGAGAAAUGUUCACUGCGAGAAGAACAAGAAACCUGAACUUUUAGAAGUUGCACAAAUCACAAUAAGCAGACAGUGGCUAAUUCUUUCUGAAAGGGGAUUUUAAUUAGUCACAGAUUUCCUCCCAUAUGAAAGGAAGAAUUCUUUAUUUCCUGUAAAUGAUAGCCCGCAUGGUGACAGGUCACCAUACACCAGGGACAUCAGGAAGGCACACUGUGUCCAGUGAGUGGCACACAUGUGGUCCACGGGCACCAGCAGAAGGCUUUACCUAUGAGAAGGACUCAGAGAGCACCCCAACAUGGAAUUAAAUUACAACAGAAUCAACUUACAGCUGCCAGGCUACAAGGAGCAGCAUGAAGCUCCAGGAGGAGGUGGAGUUUUGGUGGCAAUCAGCUGCAGUUUGCCUCUGGCUCUCCAACCCAUUUGGUAGACCCCUGGGAGUAGAUGGCCAGCCCCAGGACAAUGGCAGCCCUUCAUUUGGCACAUGGCUCUUGAUGUGCUCCACUGUAUCUUCCAAUGCAGCUCAUGGUGAACUAUAGUUGCUUGCAGAAAGGAGCCCAGAAAUGAUUAAUAGAAAACAUUCUGCCUGCCUUGAUUCUGCAUUUGCUCCUUUCCCAUUGUAUUGCCACUUGCUGGUCUGGUCAAUGCAGCUCUGCCAAGUUUCAGCUCACACCAGUAGCAUUUUCAUUCUCCCUUCACGGUCUGUGCAUUUUAUGAUUAAAACACUAAUACCUCUAUCUUUCCUCCACAAAAUGGUGUGCUUCCACAUUAAAGUUAUACUGUAGUUUUUAGUUCUAAUGC
ensembl:lncRNA